rnacentral:lncRNA from 1 species
CUGUAAUCUGUAAUCUGUUUGCAAGCAACUCUCUCUCUCUCUGUGUCUCGUUAUGGCCCAUCGCCAAAUGGUUAAGAUAUAUUUCAGGUUAAUUGUUAUUCAUAUUAUAAUAUUGCUUAGAUAACAUAUUAUUAAUAUUUUUUUUAUUAUUUUGGGAUUUUUUUUUUUUAGAAUUUUUUUAACAAUUGGAUUCAUGAUUUUGUAGCAUUGCAGGUCAUAAUUUUUCUUCUGCAAACUUAGAGAAUAGGGUUCAUUGACUUCCAUUCACUGCACUGGAGUGGUGGUUAAGUUUUAUGCAUUAUUUGCAAUUAAGGACACAAACCAUUUAACCAUUUCAUUUGAAUAUAUGUAAUAAUAUCUAUGAAUUAAACCCUUUUGUUUCAACAUUUAGGUUUCCCACCUUAUAAGAGUAGCAUAUACUAUAACUAUAAUUUGAUUUUCUUGUUAUCCUUCUAGAUUUGAAUUUUUUGCUCCACAUUGUAUCCUUAAUACUUCAAACUAAAGCUGUUAUGUUUACACUCUUGUCUUGCCGCCCAAAACUAUAUAUUGUAUCGAUUAAUAGGACUUUAUUAAUUAGAUUAUUAUUGCGUAGUCCUUGAACAAAAUUUAACCAAAGACGGAGAUAGGUAGUAUAUUGUUUUUUCUUUCCCUUGAUCCUUUUUAGACACCUUAUAUAUCAUAUAUAUACUCACUUUCUAGCCAAGGCAAUUUCUAAUUUUCUAUGGAGAUAUUUUGUUUUUUUGUGAAUUUUUCCUUAAACACCUUUUCACAGUUUUCAUGUCCGACAUAUGCUGAGGCAUUUUAGAUUAUUAGUAGAAUUUUGAAGGACCUAGUUUCACCAUUUUGUAUUACGUGGUGCAAUAUAGUUUUCUUUUUCUUGUGUAAUUGUUUGUAGGAAUUCAUCAUGGGUCGUAAAAUAGUACAUCAAUUUAUUGUUUCCUACAGAUCUAGUGGACAUCGCACAUAUAAAUGAAUUUUCGCUUUGCAGAUAAUUUUGUUUGAAAUUCAAAGUAUAACACUUUAGCAUAUGACAGUUUGAUCGACUGUAGAAUGUAUCGUGUUCGUAAUAAUGGUUAGAAUUCGAUGUACCUGUGACUUGGACAACAUACCUCAUAUUAGUAAUCUAAGCAACUCAGUUAAUGUCUACUAGUUCAGACAACUUUCACAUAAAUCCUCUUUAAGUUGUAAUUUUUUAUUUUGAACUGCAGGGGAUUGUAUAUCAGUGUUUUUGUACGUGAGGUGGUGUGGUACUGUGGUCUUCUUUAUUUCAGAGUUUUCAGAGUACCACUAUUCUGGAUGUACGAGUUACUGUAGGAAACCUCACUAUGUGGAUGGGCAUUUUUGCUUCAACCCCAUUUGGUCUUAAUGGCCCCAGUCUACCAGCAACUGUAAGCCUGCUUAUCAAUUUCACACCUUUUUCAUUAACUACAGUAUACAGUAUACACUACCACUUCUUUGAUAAGAAAUUGAAAAGAGAUCAUUUGCUGGAUUAAUUUUAUCUAAUGGAAGUCCUAGUACAAGCCUUCUGAUGGCCAGAUUUGCAUCCCCUGCAUGUGCACAAAACAGUUUUAUAGUGAUCCACAUCUCAGUGCUGCUUAUAUACUUGAAAUUGAUGGGAAACACCUACAGAUUUUUUACGUAAGUCAUUUAUGGGAUUCUUAGAUAUUUUUCUAAAAUAUUCCUUGAGAUUUGAAACACUUUCAUAUACACCCGUGAGUUGGUUAGGCUCGUAGAUUCUGUCAAUACUUUUUCAUCCACUUAUCCUUAGGACAUAAUUCGUAGAAAAAAACUGGCACCAAAUUUAUUUUAUAUCUUUAGACAAAAAACACUAAGGAGCUCACCUAUGAAGUGAAACACCAAUCUAAAAGACAAGCUUUUAUGGCAUUCUCAAGGACAUUUAAUAUGUCCAUUUUUAGCUUUCUUAGACAAUAAACUGUCUUUAGAGGGGUACUUAGUGCCUCUAUAAAGAGGUACCUUCCUAGCACUUCUCCCAUUAUAAUACGCAACCUUGCAAAGGCAUGAAAAGUUCUUGUGGAGUUGUGGAGACCAAACUUUAAAAUGCCGAAUCCGGGCGAAAUUUCGAGGCCUAGAAAACCGGCAUAUGCCUCGAAAUUUCGAUGGCCUGUGUCGGAAUGGUGAGGAUUUUAAAUCCGACAUUUCGUGGUAUUUGUCGGAAUUUCGAGAAUAUCCGAGAAUAAGGGCCGCCUGAGUAGCAGGUGUUCUCGGUCGAGCCACUCUAUGGCAGACGGGGCUGACGAAGUUUGACUUUGGCGAGGGGUUUGUUUAGGGGGCUAUGCCCGCACAUGAACUACAGUAGUUUUUGGAUAGGCUUCUAGCCGUUACCCGUGCUGAUUGUUCUCAUCCCGAGAAUAUUUAAUUAACUUAAAAACCAAUAUAAUUAACAUAAAUAAUUGGAUACAAUGGUCCAAGUUUAAGAUAAUAAUAUAAUUAAAGUUAGGCAAGAAGGAAGGGUAUAUUUGAAAAUAUGCCAUCAUCUUCUCCAACAAAACCGACGAAAACUUCAAUCUCUUCGUCUUUCAUUCGUCUUUCAUUCUCUGCUUGUCCUCUUUCAACAAAGAUAUCUUACAUCUAAAGUUUAGAUAUAAACUUUGGGGAACUAAACUACGGAUAUCGAUAAAAGGCCAUUAAUAUUGAAUCACAAAAUGAAGAUGAAUCUUUGGGGAUAUUCUUUUCCUAACCAUUGGAUCCGAAACGGCCAUUAAUAUUGAAUCACAAAUUGAAGAUGAAUCUUUAGAAAAAUUCUUCUCCUAACUAUUGAAUCUGAAAUAAUUCGUUGAAUUCGUACAAAAUCCGACGUAUUUAUUCGAAAAUUCGGGUCGGCAUGGGUAGGAUUCUGGAUCGAAGCAGAUUCGACCUGCCGAUCCGAUCCGAAUGCUAGAAAACCGGCAUAUUCCGACGAAAUUUCACGGAUCUUCUCGGCAUUUUGAACUAUGGUGGAGACCACUUAAGCAUACAGAUUAUCAUAACAAGCUUAAUUCUUUAAUAGAUGAUUUGGUUAUGGUUAGCAAUAGUUCACACUUCACACUCCUGAGUGACUCAAUCUGAUACAUAUGACAUCAAGUCAUUAUUUACUCUUAUUCUCUUGUUUUUAGUAGGGAGGUAGCUGCUUAUGGGUAACGAUCAGCAGCUUUUUGUAUGAUCUUAACACUCGUGUAAUGCUUGACACGAAGGUAGUUGCCGUCAAGAAAUUGUGAGACAGAUUUCGGUGCUGCCUUGUCACUUUUCUGUUAAGUUCCAGUAUCAUUUUAAGGAUUCUACCGCAGCUUGUAGCCAUAUAAACACUCUGUCAGGGUAUUCAGAACGUGGUGCACAUGCAUGGGACCAACGCAAUUGUUCACUCCCCAUACUUGGACAUUCUUUAGGUUAAAAUUCGAUUCAGCAGAGAGAUCAACAAUGAUUCUGCCUUUAUUGCAUUCAUCUGCUCACUUUUAUGACCAGUUUUAUAACCCUCCAAUUAAUUGUUUUCCCAUCUAAAAGGAAAUUUGAAUCAACUGUAAUAUUCAGGUGGUAGACUUGGAUCCUCGCCAUUUGUCUUAUUCAUAGUUUCAUACGUUACCUUUUUGUUCAAAAUUGUGUGCAAUGUUUGUAAUCUCUAAAACGGGACUCUGAUUAUGCUUGGAAAAAUGUUUCUCUUCAUUAUUUGUCGACGAUCCUUUGUAAAUAAUGACCACAUGUUAGUACAUCACACUUAUUAAGGUUGCGAAUAAUCCUUUUUUUUCUUUUGGUGAAGAGGUUGUGAAUAAUCUAGAAUAUUCCAUCCAAUGUUAAUCAUUGAAUACAAAUCUGGAAAAUGAAUAAUAAAUCAGCUGUUGUAAACUUGUAAUUGUGUCAAAAACUCA